GCUCUCCUCAGCAAUCAACAGUUCAUCUUCCAGAGGAAGAAAAAGACAGCUGUCGCUAAUCGUUACGCGCUGCCGGAUGGAGUUUGGGGUGCGUCGUUCAAGUGGUCUAAGCAGAUACAGUCUACGACUGAACUGGUAUGCUAGUUCCAGUUUGAUAUGUUCGUUGUCGCUGUUGUGCUUCAUACACGGACCCGCUGAUACCCCUAGCGGCGGAUGCAUAUUCGAUAUAAAUUAUAGACCAAAAACAGCUUCACCUGAUGGGAAAGUUAGAGCUUUAUAAUCUUGUUCUACAAGACUAUAAUUGAUGCAGGAGCAAAACUUCUUUUGCACUUAUUAUUAUUUUUUACUUACUCUGAAACACCAGGAAUGUAUGUAGAAUUCCAUAUUAAAGCACUAACUGAAUUAUAGUAGUCAAAGGCACAAAAUAGCAUCUGCAAGUCUAUCAGCAUACUCAGAUUGUGUCAAAAUAAUUAUAAUUAAUAUAAAAUUAAUUAACAAAUACUAAACGAGUCGAGCCCGAGCCGAGGGCGAACUUGAAAAAUUACUUACGAGCCGAGCUCGAGGUUUUAAAGUCGAAGCUUGAAUCGCGCUGAGCUCGAGCUUUCAUAUGUUAAACGAGCUCGAGCUUGGUUGACCUCAGGCUCGGAUCGUUUGCACCCCUAACACUUUUCUUGCAUGAUGGGACACAAGUUUAGGUUGGUUGAAAUGGAGUUUAAUUUGUUAUUGAAGAUAAAAGAAUGUUUUAAAGAAGACGAGAAUGUAUGGGUUAUUUUUAUUUUAAUAUUACUUAAAAGGGUAUAAUAGUAAAAUUGUCACUUUCCCUUUCUUUUCCUCUCCACUCGGGAAUGCAAAAAAAUGUUUAUUUUCCUUUCUUUCUUUUCCUUUACUUGAAACUCUGGAACACACAAUAAUUUUUAUUUGUUCCUUUCUUUUCUCUACUAAACUCUAUUUCUUUUCUUUUCUUUCUUUUAUUAAACUCUAUUUCUUUUCUUUUCUUUCUUUUCCUAACUGAUACCUUCCGGUGCACUAUCGCUGCCCUCUAUUGCACCGUCGUUGCCCUCUAGGGCACAUCGUCUCUCUUGUUCGCUACAGCCCAUGUGUGCAAUUGUCCACUAAAUUCAUAUGAAUAUGUUGUGGCUAAAUCUCUGCUUUUAUCUGCUCAUUAUGAUGUUUAGAAUAUGUGCACACUAAGGGUUUGAUGAAAUGUUUGUGUUAGUUUUCCCCUCUAAUUUUAUUCACAAUUGUCUAAGUACCUUUGUUGCAAUUAUUGUUGAUUGUGCGUAGGUUGAGUUUGACAUGGUGAAGGUUCAUGUACAUACAAGGGUAAGGGAUAAAAGUUGGAACUAUUGAACGCGCUUCAGGGUACCCUUUGUGCUGUCAGGCGUGAGCAGCCUUUGUGAGAGGAUAUGAUGUUAUUCACAAACUAUUUACAGAGCUGGCUUACUGAUACAAGACAUGAGGAUAUACAAGAGUUCUUCGAACUUGAAUAAAAGUUGGUGAUGCUGCACCAAUGACGUAUAUUGAGUAAGUUCUUUUAUCACAUGGGCUGAAAGACUUUUCUAUAAGCUUAUUUUUACUUUAUGCUAUCUAAAGUGCUUUUUACACUAUUACCUACAACCGAAAUUAUGGCUCGUUCAUCAAGAAAUGGGUUGAUUUAGGUCACUGCAAUGCUUAUUGAAUUUGGGUCGACUAAAUUUAAGCCUACUCAAAUUAUACAACAGUUAUUAAUCUCAAAACAUUGCGAAAUUAACAAUGCGUUGGAUCCCUGAACAAGAUCUCAGCUUAGCAGGAGUUUUGCAUCUCCGGCUCCACAACCAGCUCAAAGACCACCAUUGGAUCCCUCGAGAAGAUCUCAGCUUAGCAGGAGUUUCGCAUCUCCUAAAGAAGGCAAAAGCUUAGAAGCAGAGGAUUAAACCUUAUUGUCACUGGAAUCAUCCCUUCUAAAAGGUUAAUCAUGGUAGGUACGGGUCACUGUGGGAUAACUGGAUUUGUGUCGCCUCUGAGAUUGGUUAGAACGGGUCAUCUGUUACUAGAAAUGGAAUUCGGUAUAUAUUAUUAGAAGCUUUCGAGCGAAGUUUUAUGACAGAGAAAUUCUCACUCAAAAGAACGUUUAAACUCCUCAUGUAAACAUUUGGAAUUUGAAAUAUGUUACUUAUUACAUAAUGUUUUGCUAAUACUUGGAGUAUGUUUCACAUCAAUAUAUUAUUGAAGUUUUAAUA